rnacentral:rRNA from 1 species
AGUGAACGCUGGCGGUAUGCCUAACACAUGCAAGUCGAACGGCAGCACAGUAAGAGCUUGCUCUGACGGGUGGCGAGUGGCGGACGGGUGAGGUAUGCAUCGGAAUCUACUUUUUCGUGGGGCAUAACGUAGGGGAACUUACUCUAAUACCGCAUACGACCUACCGUUGAAAGCAGGGGAUCUUCGGACCUUGUGCGAUUGAAUUAGCCGAUGACGGAUUAGCUGGUUGGCGGGGUAAAGGCCCACCAAGGCGACGAUCCGUAGCUUGUCUGAGAGGAUGAUCACCGGCACGAGAGGGGGGACACGGUCAUGACGCCUAAGGGAGGCCGCAGACGGGAAUAUUAGACAAUGGGCGCAAGCCUGAUCCAGCCAUCCCGCGUGGGUGAAGACGGCCUUCGGGUUGUAAAGCCGUUUUGUUGGGAGAGAACAGCAGUAGGUUAAUACGCCGCGGUUCUGACGGUAACGAAAGAAGAAGCACCGGCUAACUUCGUG